rnacentral:rRNA from 1 species
GACGAACGCUGGCGGCGCGCCUAACACAUGCAAGUCGAGCGAGAACCGGACCUUCGGGUCCGGGGACAGCGGCGAACGGGUGAGUAACACGUGGGCAACCUGCCCUCGGCACUGGGAUAGCCCGGGGAAACCCGGAUUAAUACCGGAUAGCCUCCGGAGCCUUCGGGCGCCGGAAGAAAGGUGGCUUCGGCAUCCGGCCGAGGAGGGGCCCGCGGCGGAUUAGCUUGUUGGGGGGGUAAUGGCCUACCAAGGCGACGAUCCGUAGCUGGUCUGAGAGGACGAUCAGCCACACUGGGACUGAGACACGGCCCAGACUCCUACGGGAGGCAGCAGUGGGGAAUCUUGCGCAAUGGGCGAAAGCCUGACGCAGCGACGCCGCGUGCGGGAAGAAGGCCCUCGGGUUGUAAACCGCUUUCAGGAGGGACGAAGCCACUCGGGUGAACAGCCCAGAGGGUGACGGUACCUCCAGAAGAAGCCCCGGCUAACUACGUGCCAGCCGCCGCCGUAAGAC